CCGCCUGGUCCAUUUGACAUGCUUGGAUUAUUGAGUGUUAUUAAUAUGAAUGAUCCAGAUCUAACAUCUCUUGCAUUGGGAAUUGAUUUAACAACAGUAGAACUGAGCUUGAGCUCGAUAGAUAGUCUUUAUAAAACAUUUGGUUCUCCAUGGUCUGAUGAGCCUACCAAGGGGGAGCUUGAGUACUGCAGUCCAACAUGUUAUUAUGCCAAAACACCACCACCUCUACAUCAACUACAUUUCUCCAAAUUUCAGCUAUCAACCUUGUUUUACGUCUUCUACAGGUAUUCUAUUCUUCCCUUUUAUUUUUGGUGCUUUGCUCACAUACUUUGCUUCACAAAAAUCCAGAAUGUUGGAAAAGGUUGACAUGGAA